rnacentral:rRNA from 1 species
GAUGAACGCUGGCGGCGUGCCUAACACAUGCAAGUCGAGCGAGAAAUAAAGGAAUGAAGCUUCGGUAGAUUUUCUUUAUGGAAAGCGGCGGACGGGUGAGUAACGCGUAGGCAACCUGCCCUGUACAGGGGGAUAGCCACCCGAAAAGGUGAUUAAUACCCCAUAACGCAAGAGAUACACAUGUAUCACUUGUCAAAGAUUUAUCGGUAUAGGAUGGGCCUGCGUCUGAUUAGCUAGUUGGUAGGGUAACGGCUUACCAAGGCAACGAUCAGUAGCCGACCUGAGAGGGUGAUCGGCCACAUUGGAACUGAGACACGGUCCAAACUCCUACGGGAGGCAGCAGUGGGGAAUAUUGCACAAUGGGCGCAAGCCUGAUGCAGCAACGCCGCGUGAAGGAUGAAGGCCUUCGGGUUGUAAACUUCUGUCCUAGGGGAAGAAACAAAUGACAUUACCCUUGGAGGAAGCCCCGGC